GCCGGAUUAGUUCAGCUGGAUAGAAUGUCUGCCUACGGAGCCGAUGGUCGUAGGUUCGAAUCCUGCAUCGGGUA
rnacentral:tRNA from 1 species